UGGCCCGCUCUCUGCCGCAGCCUCCUCCGAUCCUCCUGGACGCCACUCGAACUUACUGUAAGCCAAGACCCGGUAUCCACCGGAGUGCCUCCAGGACUGUCAUCAUCAUUUUCCCAAUGUGCCGACCUCCCCCAGAAGCCCUCUCCUGACAGUUUGUCGUUCUAUCCACCGAAUCUGUGUUUACAUUAAUAAACUAUAUUUUGCUGA